rnacentral:rRNA from 1 species
AUUGAACGCUGGCGGCAGGCCUAACACAUGCAAGUCGAGCGAGCGGCGGACGGGUGAGUAAUGUAUGGGGACUGCCCGAUAGAGGGGGAUAACUCCUGGAAACGGUAGCUCAAACCGCAUACUAUCGGAUAACCCAUAUGGGAGUAGCUAGUUGUUGAGGUAAUGGCGCACCACGGCGACGAUCCCUAGCUGGUCUGAGAGGAUGAUAAGCAACCCUGGAACGGUGACACGGCCCAGACUCCUACGGAGGAAGCAGUGGGGAAUAGGGGACAAUGGGAGCAAGCCGGAUGCAGCCAUGCCGCGUGUAUGAAGAAGGCAGUAGGGUUGUAAAGUACUGUAAGUCGGGAGGAGUUACCGACAGAAGAAGCACCGGCUAACUCCGUGCCAGCAGCCGCGGGAAUAC